GAUGAACGCUGGCGGCGUGCUUAACACAUGCAAGUCGAACGGAAAGGCUCCUGCUUGCAGGGGUACUCGAGUGGCGAACGGGUGAGUAACACGUGGGUGAUCUGCCCUGCACUUCGGGAUAAGCCUGGGAAACUGGGUCUAAUACCGGAUAGGACCACAUUUUGGAUGGUGUGGUGGAAAGUUUUUCGGUGUGGGAUGAGCUCGCGGCCUAUCAGCUUGUUGGUGGGGUAAUGGCCUACCAAGGCGUCGACGGGUAGCCGGCCUGAGAGGGUGUACGGCCACAUUGGGACUGAGAUACGGCCCAGACUCCUACGGGAGGCAGCAGUGGGGAAUAUUGCACAAUGGGCGCAAGCCUGAUGCAGCGACGCCGCGUGGGGGAUGACGGCCUUCGGGUUGUAAACUGCUUUCGCUAGGGACGAAGCGCAAGUGACGGUACCUGGAGAAGAAGCACCAGCUAACUACGUG
rnacentral:rRNA from 1 species